CUCCUCACUUUCUUUCUGCAGGAGCUCGCUGCCGGCGCCCAGGUGUCCUGACACGCCCCGCAAGGUGACCUGUACUGUCAAAUAGUACUACAUUUAUCAGACGUAUAUAAUCCAAAAUAAUGUGUCCACCUAUAAAACGCUAAUUUACCUCGGAAUUCUCGUGCAGAUGUUCACACAAUUUAUGGCACACCAGCAGGAUCUUAACUGGACCACCAGGGAAUUCUCUACAGUAUCUUCUGAAGAACAGAAGUUUUUAACUUUGGUCUCAAGAAAGAAGACCGUUAAAGCUGAGGGGAGCAGAUGGUGGAAGCGAGGUCAAGAAUAGGAAUCAGCACCUGGAAUCCUAAAAGGCUGCAGUGCAGUGGGAAGUUGGAACACAGGAGUUCAGCAUGCAGAACUACCCCCUCCAGAGAUGCAACCCGCAGUAGAAGCUCAGAGUCUUAACCACUGGACCACUAGGAAGUCCUGGAUUUUGACUAUUUUAAUAGUUGGGAGAGGCAAUCCCUUGUGUGUCCUGGACAUCCCUGCAGAGGGUACCAACUGCGAGACUUAUCCCAUGUUAUUGAGCAGUUUCGAUAGUCAGAGGAGCAACUAAGUAGCUCAAGAUGUCAAAGAAGGAACUGCAUAUCUAUCAGUUCAACUCUCAGAUGCAAUAAGGCCACCAAUGGUAUCGUAAUAAACUGAAAUGUUUUUAUUAUCUUUUUUGCCUUUCCAAGAGAGGCAGUCUAAUGAUGAAUACCGACCUCAAUGCUUACUCACCUUGGGACCUUUCUGAGCAUCAGUGACUCAUCUACAGAAUGGGAUAAAACCACCAGGGCAAUGAAGAAAAUAAAGAGAAAAGCCACAGAACACAGAGUAUUUGGUUAAUGCUAGUCUACUUGGAUCAGAAUAUUAUUUGAGAGGAGGAGGAAAACCCAUUUUCUCUUCCCACGUUGGAUGAUGUGACCCCUGCAGUUUUUAAAAUAAAUUUAUUUAUUUAUUUA